GGAUAAUCCCGGGCGACCGGGGAAAGGUCGGCGACAGCUGGUGUCGCCCUCCCCUGCGACGCGGCGCAAGCCAAUGUGGCAGGCAGAUAUCACCAGCUCCUCUGAUCCGGAGUCGUGUCCGAUCAGUUCACACGAACCAGGAGCUGAGCGGUGAGCGGCGAUGAGAAACCGCCCGCGAGCCGAGUUACGCCCACAGGGAGUUUCGACCUGUGCGCGGACGCAGUUACCCAGAGGGUUUUGGUUGCUACUGCGCAAGACCAGAACGCAGUCGCGUUUCCCGGCGGGACGACCCCGCCAGAAGGCCCCGCUCGCUCGCACGAGCAGGGCGCGCAAGGGAGACUCGGUUGCGGGGAGAGAGCGAGCCUGGCAAAGCCCGCGAACCUCCUCGAUUGGGGCGGCCCGAAAAACGCGUCACCCCACUGCAAAAGCGAAUGCAACCUGAGAGGUAAGAGGUCAGACCCGUAACGCGGGGCCAACGUCCGGCCAAAAGCCGGAGCCGACCCCGUGGCAACGGUGCCGACGCGAGAGACAGAGAUUGCAGGCGUGUCCGCACCCCGUCCGGCGUGCCGCUUCCGGCAGGAAGCGUCCGAACCGGGCGAAGAGGCCUCACUCGAAAGAUUCCAACCGGAAACGGUCGGAACGGUCCCGCCAUGAGACCGAGACAUCCGCAUGCCGCGGAGAGUGGCGUCGGGAAGCACACGGCCCGCGAAAGCGAGAGCGCCCAACGGUGUGCACCGGGAAAGAGCGCGUGGCGAACGCC
rnacentral:ncRNA from 1 species